AAAAUUUAGUUAAUAGAUAACAUUAACUUGUCAAGUUAAAAUAAUUAAAAUUUAAUAAUUUUU
rnacentral:tRNA from 1 species